rnacentral:piRNA from 1 species
UGGGACUCUUUCUUUGGUUGACUUGAGG